rnacentral:sRNA from 1 species
UUGUGGGUUGCUGGGCGGCCCGGUCUCGGAGAAGAGGGGAGAGUGGCGGGCCGCUGAAUAAGCUUCCAAAAUGAUGCCCACACCAGUUAUCCUAUUGAAAGAGGGGACUGAUAGCUCCCAAGGCAUCCCCCAGCUUGUGAGUAACAUCAGUGCCUGCCAGGUGAUUGCUGAGGCUGUAAGAACUACCCUGGGUCCCCGUGGCAUGGACAAGCUUAUUGUAGAUGGCAGAGGCAAAGCAACAAUUUCUAAUGAUGGGGCCACAAUUCUGAAACUUCUUGAUGUUGUCCAUCCUGCAGCAAAGACUUUGGUAGACAUUGCCAAAUCCCAAGAUGCUGAGGUGGGUGAUGGCACCACCUCAGUGACCUUGCUGGCUGCAGAGUUUCUGAAGCAGGUGAAACCCUAUGUGGAGGAAGGUUUACACCCCCAGAUCAUCAUUCGAGCUUUCCGCACAGCCACCCAGCUGGUAUGGCAGUACUAAUUAACCUUCUCUUGGGCCUGGACACCUUCACAUUUCUCUUAGGAAGGGG